UUACGGGAGGCAGCAGUGAGGAAUAUUGGACAAUGGGCGAAAGCAUGAUCCAGCCAUGCCGCAUGAGUGAUGAAGGCCCUAGGGUUGUAAAGCUCUUUAGACGGGGAUGAUAAUGACGGUACCCGUAGAAGAAGCCAGGGUUAAUUUGGUGCCAGCAGCCGGGGUAAUAGGAAUGUGGCAAGGGUUGUUGGGAAUCAUUGGGGGUAAAGAAUGGGUGGGGGGCUUGACAAGUCAGGAGUGAAAUCCCAGGGUUCAACCCGGGAAUUGCUUUUGAAACUGUCUUGUUAGAGUCCGGGAGGGGUGGGGGGAAUUCCGAGGGUAGAGGUGAAAUUGGCAGAUAUUGGGAGGAACACCAGUGGCGUAGGCGGCCAAUUGGACGGGAACUGACGUUGAGGCAUGAAAGUGUGGGGAGCAAACAGGAUUAGAUACCCUGGUAGUCCACACCGUAAACGAUGUGUGCUAGUUGUUGGGCAGCUUAGCUGUUCAGUGACGGAGCUAACG
rnacentral:rRNA from 1 species